UGCCCUUGACUAAGUAAAGCCGUGGAAGAAGUGAUUUUUAGCUGCUCCCAAUGAGCCCUAACACACGCCUCUGAAUAAUCACAUUAUCGUGUCCCUUGUGGCAUAGGUGCCUGCUACCUUGACGAUGGAAAUAAUAAAGAAGUAAAGUUAGAUCAUAAAAGUAAGGAAAUGGUUAAACUGAGGAGAGGGAGGCUGAAUUUAUGGAGCACAGGGGAGUUUUAGGGCAGUGGAAGUAUUUUGUGUGAUGUGGUGUAUACAUGUCAUUUUACAUUUGUCGAAAUUCAUAGAACUAUAGCAUCCAACCAGAGCCAUAAUGUACAUAUGAACUCUGAGUAAUAACGACGUGACCAAGAUUGGUUCCCCAGCUGCAACAAUUAUACCCCUCUGCUGGGGAAACGGAGGAGGCUGUGCAUAUUUGGUAGGGAGGGAGAGAACAGUUAAUUAUGGGGCAAACUCUGUAUUUUCUGUUCAACUUUGCUAUGGACAUAAAACUGCUCUGAAAAUGUAGUCUAUAAAGCAUGCGAGCAAACUGACAGCCUCCAGGAGCACCGUAGUUAUUUCUGAUAUAGCUCUGCUGCCAUCGUUUGCAGUCUGAGAAUGUCAAUACUGUCCCAGGAGUUCUCAGACAAGCCACGCACUGAGUUAAUUUUCUUCUAACUACUGACUUCUUUCUCAUAGCAAGAAAUCAACAAUAAUUUUUAUGAUCUUUUCUGAUAUCUUUUUUAAAUAUAAUGAUUAUACAAUGAUUUCUUUUCCUUUGGGAAGAUACCCAGUAGUGGGAUUGCUGGAUCAAAUUGUAAUUCUGUUUUUAGUUUUUUGGAGAAAUCUCCGUUCUGUUUUUCACGGUGGUUGUACUAGUUUACAUUCCCACCAGCAGUGGAUAAGCGUUUCCUUUCCUCCACAUCGUCGCCAACAUCUGUUAUUUAUGAUAGCCAUUCUUACUGGGUUAAGACUCGAGGUGAAAUUGAAGCCCCAGCCAACCACUUGUCUGCAAACCUGUGAGGAACCAUUAUACAAAGGCAAAGCUGCCUUUGGAUUCCGGAGUCUCAGAAACUGUGGAAACCCUAUCCUAGAAUUAAUUAUGAUGAUGAUACUUAUACCUGUGAAUUUACUAAAAACAUUGCAUUGGGCACUUCAAAUGGCCGAAUUGUAUGUUGUACUUCAGCUUCUGGAGAACAUGGACAGAUCAUGCAGGGUCAGUUUCAUUGAAGGAGCAACCUUUAUUCUUGACAGUCUCACUGCUCCUCCUGUACUUGACCUGCUAACUCCCACAGCUGUGCCCAUUCAUGGUUUCUGUCUUAACAUUUAUUGUUAAUACUCAACUUGUAAAUCUUAGUGCCCACGUUCUAAGAUUUUUUUUUUCUGUUCUAGUUGUCCCAACUCGACUAUAUUUUUCCUUUCUUGGUAAUGUGCCAGUCAUACAGUUACUUGAUUAAGAUACCUGACAGAUUUGCUCAAUAUCUCAGUCCUCAUGUACAGUUUGCUGAAGAGUGUGAAGGACGAAAUUGGAGUCUUCUUGUAACAUGAGUGUGGUCAGGGGAUUGAGGACCAUAGAUUCUAAUACAUACAGUAUCAAGUGUUAUGCUUACACAUUAAACUAGAAAUUUCAUGCUGAUUUACUUUUAUUGAUAUGCUUAGGCACCAUUUGAAGAGCUUAUAUUAGUGUUUUUCAUAUAUUAUAAAGUAUAAAGAAUAUAUUAUCAAAUCAUACUUGUUAUUUUCCAAAUUUUCAACUUUAGACUUUCAGCUAAAAAUAAGUUAUUAAAUUGGUUAGGAGAAAAAUAAUUCUGAUUUGGUUGUUUCAACAUUGGAAAGUUACUAAAAAUUAUUAAAUAGUUCCUUACCUGGUUGCAUAAAAUAAGAUUUUCUUGGUAGCUUAGGGAAAUAAUAAUGAAUGUAUAAUACUUUAAUUGGUUGAACCCAUACAUAUCAUUGCAUAGUUAUUUUCCCUUUGACUAAAUUUACCCUUUUUUAUUCAUUCAUUUAGUUAUUCAUUUAUUCAAUCAGUCAGUUCAUAGAGGGCUACUAAGCUUUGAAAAUGUGCAAAGCACUCUGAUACAUGUGAACAGAUCAUGGCCGCUGUGCCUGAGCUUGAGGGCUGAAUAAUUAGUGAAAGUAAUGUGCUAAAUUCUAAAAUAGAAUUUUGCAUUAAGUAUAAUAAAGACGGACCUGUCAUUUUCUCAGGCAUUCAGUAAGAUUCUAUAGUGCCAUUUCCAAAAAUGCAAGUUAGUUCAGUGUGGUUGUUUAUUCUGAUGUCAACUUGACUGGAUUGAGGGAUGCACAGAUAAGUAAUAGGGUAUCAUUUAUUCUCAAUUAUUGCGUUAGUUAUUCUCAAUGUUUCAGCAGGCAGCGAACCUAUUUAUCAUUCACUGAAAGGGAAAUUUUGGUGGUUUGGCAUUUGAUUAGAAGGAUUAAACUUCCCUGGGUGUGUCUGUGAAGGUAUUUCUGGAGGAGCUUUCAAUGUGAGCUUGUGCAUACAAUUGGAUGGGGACCUGGAUGGAACAAAAAAAAAAAAAAAAAAAGAAGGAAGAGUGAAUUAUUUAUUUUUUGCUGAUACAUAACAGUUGUACAAAUUUAUGCAGUACAUGCCACAUUUUAAUACAAGCAUACAAUAUGUAAUAAUCAAGUCAGGGUAAUGAAGGUAUCCAGCACCUCAAGUAUUAAUCAUUUCUUUGAGUUUGGAACAUUCUAAUUCCUCUAGUUAUUUUGAAAUAUAGAAUAAAUUGUUGCUGACUGUUGCCACCCUGUUAUGCUGCUAACUGUAUUUUCAUGCCUGUUAACAAUCUCUAUAUUGUCCCCACCUCCCACUACCCUUCUCAGGCUCUGGUAACCAUCUCUCUAGGAUCUGUCUCCAUGAGAUAGUUAUUAAGCUCCCACAAAUGAGCAAAAACAUGAUAAUUUGUCUUUCUGCACCUGGUUUAUUCCACUUAACAUAAUGUCCUCCAGUUCCUCAGUGUUGUUGCAAAUGACAGAUUUUCUUAAUUUUUAUGGCUGAAUACUAUUCCCUUGUGUGUAUGUACCACAUUGUCUUUAUCCAUUCAUCUAUUGAUCCCCUAUCUUGGCUUUUGUGAAUAGCAUUAAAAUAAACAUAGGCAUGCAGAUGUUUUCAAUAUACUGAUGUUCUUUGUUUUGGAUAUAUGCUCAGCAGUGGGAUUGCUGGAUUAUAUACUAGU
rnacentral:lncRNA from 1 species